GUUAGGUUUUAUUCUGCCGUCAGACAUUUAGCUUGAUGGCCGCAGUAUCGUCCGUGUUUGAUGAAAUCGAGCCCACUGAUAUCGCAAAAUCAUGUGGUGUUGAAUAAACAUCGUUGACUGCUUAUAGGAUUUCGGAGGACGAUCUCAUCUCAGUUGCUGGAAGGUGUUGAUCGUCAAUUCAAAAAACUUUGGUGGCUUCUUAAGAGAUCUAUGAUGGAUUGUUUGAAAAUUUACACUCUUUUGUGAAAAGAUAUAUGGCAGGUAAUGAAACCGAGUCAUGCCAUUUUAUGUGAACGAUGAGAGCUUUGGUGCUGAGACCACAAACUCAUAGGAAGUUGCAAUGUGAAUGUAACACAUUGAAAUUUACAAGGUGGUCAGAGUCAGAAAAUCACAAGUCAAACAUGGGACUUAUCUUAAGCCCAAAUCGAUGCUCAAAAAGAAGUGUUCAAGAUAUCAAGAUCUAAACAAAGAUAUAUGAGAUCCACCACGUUUUAUUAGCGUAUCAUUCAAAAUUCAAUCCUUUGCUUCGGCGUCCAAUGCGACAUUGCAUAGAUUAUGAUCAUGCAUAUAUAGAUAGAAAUUGGUGCACAUAAUUGGGAAAUUUAGAGCCACUUGUCUUUCAAGGAGAUGGACUGAUCUCAAAGUUCAAAUGGUGGUGAGAUUUCCAUGUUUUCCUCCAGCUCAUAGAUAGAAGACUACUUUGAACAACAGAUCUAGUAUUUUUAUGAAUGAACAAAUGUAGCUAAUAUAGCAGUGCUAGACUUUCCAAAUCUGGCCCCAGGGUCACCUUGGAUUGAGUUUUCUUUAUUAGAUUCUCAAGAGUUUUAUGUCCUUACUAGUAUCAUACAUUUUUUAGAUAAAAAUUGUUCCAUUGUCUGUUUCUUCUUAUGUAUCUCGAGGGAGAUUUUUUACAUGUAGAUGAUUUUGUUCUUUAAAAUGAUAUAAUGAUAUAAUGUACAUUUUAAUGUAAAUUGUACUAUGACUAAAAACUUUUCUAAGAUUUAUAGGGUGCAAUUUCGUCUAAUUUUUUAAAUCUGUAACGUGACCACGUAUAAGGAUAGUUGUGUAACUUGAUAAAAGAAAAUGUGUCCUUUAAAUUUAUUGUUGGUUAAUCUCUGAACUUUUUAGUUUAAGUAAACUUAGUUAGAAACUCUGUUAGUGUAGUUAUUGCCUAAAUUGUAAUUGGGUUUAAGUUUUGUCAAAAAUGUAAGUAGGUACAUUGAUUGAAGUGAUGCGUUUGUUUAACGUCGUGAUAUAUGGUCAUAUCCUCAGUUAUUGGUAAUCAACAACCCAGUACACAGAGAUUAAUAAAGUGAAGCGUUUCAUUGAAUCCAUUGUUGUAUAUACAAAUUGUUGUUUGUUUUAGCGACCUGAUUAUAGCCUUCAAAUUGCUACCAGAGCAAGGCACAAAGAACACAAUUGAUUCUCUAUCUGUGAUUUUUUGUUGGAUAUCAAAAUACUCACACACAUACAACCCAUAAACACUUAUGUUAACACUAACAUAAGACAAUGUUCUAUACAUAAUACAUACACUUAUAUUGCCAUAAAACAAAAUCAAGUUUGUAAUACUAAUAAUUUUUACUAACCCAAAAUUGAAAUCUGUCACUGGAAUCAGAAUCGGUUUAAUGACUGUUGAAUACCAAAUCGCAGAUUGCAAACCGGAGAAAAAGAGAUAAACCUCUGCAGAUUUCUUUGGUAACAUCAACAAAUCAAAUUCCAAAUCCGUAACAGAGUUUCAAUCAAAAUCGAAAUUUGCGAUUAACAGAGGAAACAAAGAAACGACACACCAAAACAGGUAUAUAUCUCCAGCACUAGCCGUUCCUCAAGAGAAGCCAUAAUAUUUGAAGAGUGGUCAACCUGAAGACAGGAUUGCCCUUAGGUCUCAUUAAUUGAGAAAUCGGAGAUGUGUGACGCGAAGAAGAAACACACAAGAUUGUGUCUGUUUGUGAAUACGUUGACCCAAAAGUUUUAUGCUUUUAAUGAUAUAUACGUUUUUCAGCUUAUAAGCGUUUUAUUGUGCGCUUCUUGCAAGGUGACUCAUCCCAAAACUGGACAGCUAAAAGAGAUCUGUUUUACUUUUUAGUCGCAUGUUAAAAGUAAAAUGGCAUAGAAUUGUUGUUCGGGUCACAACCUUAGAUGAACAAGAAGUAUGAGCGAUUGGAUUUGUGGCC
rnacentral:lncRNA from 1 species